AGAAUCAACGCUGGCGGCGUGCCUAACACAUGCAAGUCGAACGAGAAAGUGGAGCAAUCCAUGAGUAAAGUGGCGACCGGGUGAGUAACACGUGACUAACCUACCUUUUAGUGGGGGAUAACCUCGGGAAACCGAGGCUAAUACCGCAUAACAUCGCAAGAUCAAAGCAGCAAUGCGCUGGAAGAGGGGGUCGCGGCUGAUUAGCUAGUUGGCGGGGUAACGGCCCACCAAGGCGAAGAUCGGUA
rnacentral:rRNA from 1 species